UACAGAGGUCUCAAGCGUUGUUCGGAUUCAUUGGGCGUAAAGGGUGCGUAGGCGGCGCGGUAAGUCGGGUGUGAAAUCUCGGGGCUUAACUCCGAAACUGCAUUCGAUACUGCCGUGCUUGAGGACUGGAGAGGAGACUGGAAUUUACGGUGUAGCGGUGAAAUGCGUAGAUAUCGGGAGGAACACCAGUGGCGAAGGCGGCUUCCUGGCCUGUUCUUGACGCUGAGGCGCGAAAGCUAGGGGAGCAAACGGG
rnacentral:rRNA from 1 species